GAUGAACGCUGGCGGCGUGCCUAAUACAUGCAAGUCGAGCGAACAGACGAGGAGCUUGCUCCUCUGACGUUAGCGGCGGACGGGUGAGUAACACGUGGAUAACCUACCUAUAAGACUGGGAUAACUUCGGGAAACCGGAGCUAAUACCGGAUAAUAUAUUGAACCGCAUGGUUCAAUAGUGAAAGACGGUUUUGCUGUCACUUAUAGAUGGAUCCGCGCCGCAUUAGCUAGUUGGUAAGGUAACGGCUUACCAAGGCAACGAUGCGUAGCCGACCUGAGAGGGUGAUCGGCCACACUGGAACUGAGACACGGUCCAGACUCCUACGGGAGGCAGCAGUAGGGAAUCUUCCGCAAUGGGCGAAAGCCUGACGGAGCAACGCCGCGUGAGUGAUGAAGGUCUUCGGAUCGUAAAACUCUGUUAUUAGGGAAGAACAAAUGUGUAAGUAACUAUGCACAUCUUGACGGUACCUAAUCAGAAAGCCACGGCUAACUACGUG
rnacentral:rRNA from 1 species